rnacentral:rRNA from 1 species
GAUGAACGCUGGCGGCGUGCCUAAUACAUGCAAGUCGAGCGAUCAGACGAGGAGCUUGCCCCCCUGACGAUAGCGGCGGACGGGUGAGUAACACGUGGAUAAUCUACCUAUAAGACUGGGAUAACCUCGGGACACCGGAGCUAAUACCGGAUAAUAUAUUGAACCGUAUGGUUCAAUUGUGAAAGAUGGCUUUGCUGGAUCUUAUCGAGGGCUCUCCGCCGCUUUAGAUAGUUGUUAAGGUAACGGCUUACCAAGGCAAGGAUGCGUGGCCGACCUGAGGGGGUGGUCGGCCACACUGGAACUGGGACACGGUCCAUACUCCUGCGGGAGGCAGCAGUAGGGAAUCUUCGGCAAUGGGCGAAAGCUUGACGGAGCAACGCCGCGUGAGUGAUGAAGGUCUUCGGAUCGUAAAACUCUGUUAUUAGUGAAGAACAACUGUGUGAGUGGAAAUGCCCGUAUUGACGGUACCUAAACAAAAAGCGACGGCUAACUACGUG